CAGGGAUUGCCUAGUAACGGCGAGUGAAGCGGCAACAGCUCAGAUUUGAAAUCUGGCCCUCUGGGUCCGAAUUGUAAUCUGUAGAGGAUGCUUUUGGCAAGACGCCUUCUGAGUCCCCUGGAACGGGGCGCCAUAGAGGGUGAGAGCCCCGUACGGUUGGACGUCGCGCCUCUGUAAAGCACCUUCGACGAGUCGAGUAGUUUGGGAAUGCUGCUCAAAGCGGGAGGUAAAUUUCUUCUAAAGCUAAAUACCGGCCAGAGACCGAUAGCGCACAAGUAGAGUGAUCGAAAGAUGAAAAGCACUUUGAAAAGAGGGUUAAAAAGCACGUGAAAUUGUUGAAAGGGAAGCGUUUGUGACCAGACUUGGUCCCGGCGGAUCACCCGGCGUUCUCGCCGGGGUACUCUGUCGGGUUCAGGCCAGCAUCGGUUUCUCUGGGGGCAUAAAGGCUUUGGGAACGUAGCUCUUUCGGGAGUGUUAUAGCCCUUUGCACAAUACCCCCGGGGGGACCGAGGCCCGCGCAUUGCAAGGAUGCUGGCGUAAUGGUCACCAGCGACCCGUCUUGAAACACGGACCAAGGAGUCAAGCAUUAGGGCGAGUGUUUGGGUGGAAAACCCGCACGCGAAAUGAAAGUGAACGCUGGUGAGAGCUUCGGCGCAUCAUCGACCGAUCCUGAUGUUUUCGGAUGGAUUUGAGUAAGAGCCUUACCGCUUGGACCCGAAAGAUGGUGAACUAUGCUUGUAUAGGGUGAAGCCAGAGGAAACUCUGGUGGAGGCUCGCAGCGGUUCUGACGUGCAAAUCGAUCGUCAAAUAUGAGCAUG
rnacentral:rRNA from 1 species